AUAAAUCUUUGCUGUUGUUGAAAGCCACGUGAGUAAUGCAUAUAUAUAUAUAGUUUCACCAAAGUUUUAAAAUGAACACAUCUAUUUUUAAAAAGCUUGGGGACUAAAAUUCUGUUUUUUAUUAUUGAUUAUGUUUGACAAUAAUUAUAAAAAAGAAAUUUCUGGAGCAUUUAAAUUUAUUAUUUAGUGUGUUUAUCUUGUGAUUGUUAUUGUUGCUAUUUUUAUAGUGGGGAAGUAAUGAAUUCUUUCUAAUUGAUUGUAAAACACUUUUGACACCAAAUUUUAAACACUCGGUUAAACGGCUAAAACGGCUAAACGAUAUCUUUAAUAUCUGUAAAUAGUACACAAAAAGAAAUGUUUGGAUAUUUAAAUUUUGUGUUUCAAUGUUGAAACUAAAUUCAAAUUAGGAAGUUAUUCAACCUUAAAAUUGUAAAAAUAAACUUGUUGAUAGGCAAUUUAUAUGGCUAUAUUUUCCUUUUGUGGUAAGUUAUUAAUGCAUCAUUAUUAUGAGGUUCAUAGCUGAUUAUGCAGUAUGGGCUUUACUCAUUGUUGAAGGCCCUAUAAUGACCUUUAGUUGUUAAUUUCUGUGUCAUUUGGUCUCUUGUGAAGAGUUGUCUCAUUGGCAAUCAUACCACAUCUUCUUCUUUAUAUAUAUACAGGAUACAAUAUGCAGGAAUAGAGCCAUUUUAAUCCAUAUUUCAGAAAUAUGAUACUUUUUUCCAUCUUAUUUUGAGAAUUCAUUUUUAUAGCGCCAACCUCCAACCAUUUAAUAUAUUGUAGAAAAAGUAAUAAACAGUGCAUUGGGGGUCUAAUUGGGGGGUUCUGAUCCCAGAUCCAGCUUACUGUUUUGUCAGAUUCCCAUAUCCUACUAACACUAUGUACAUGUAUGUAAGCAAUUUUCAUUUUUUUGUAAUUUCCUGUGUCCCACUAGACUUCAUUUCUUGUUUUCACUGCAAAAAUAAUUUGACUUUCACAUGUCAUGCUUCCAAAAAAUUGGCAAUCCCAUGACACGCUUAGACCCCAAAGAGACCCACUGCAUGUACAUAGUGUUUGUAAAUUUGUAUUAGGCAAGGGAUGAUGCCACUGUUAUAAUUGUCAUAAAUUUUUCCACAUUAUGCAAAAAAUCACAUUUUAUUGAACCUCACUUAUAUUUCUGACAUCACAAAUACAUCACUAUAAUCAUGAUAGUAAUAAUGACACAAUUGGAAAAAAAACCUUCAUUUAUCAACAUCAUCCAUUACAUAUAAUCGUAGUGUUUGCAAGAUAAGUAUUCAAAUAGUUCUUGUUUAUUUAAAUCAACAAACUAUUGUGUUGUUUUAAUUUGUAUGGUAAUUGUAUUAUGAAACUGUAUUUUUAUGACAUGGAUCAAUGUAUGGCAAGCUGAGCUGUAUUUGAAUGGAACAUUAAAAUUGAUUGAUUUUUAAUCUUACAAGGUCUAGUCUCUAAAUAGAUUUUUUGCCUUUGUCAGGUUUGUUAGCCUUGUAUUUUUUUAUUUUAGUAUUUUGUCAGGGGUUAAAAAAUCUGCUAGCCCGACGCCCAGGACUAGAUCAUUUACGCCUCGGGCAAUUAAAAUGUGUAAUCCAUUAUGCCCGAUGGACUAGUAAAAAAAAAUUCUUGACGUUUCCAAAAUAGAAAGUUAAAAAUCCCUUCAACACUAUCCUAUGUUAGCCAAUUCGAUUCAAUUAAAUCAUCUGGGUUUCCAAGAAUUUGAACUGGUUUGCACAGGUCCUGUUGUACAUAUUUAAAAAAUAGAACAAAUAACUCUGGCAUGUCUGGGUGGCCUGGUAUCAUGUGUUGAUCGCAUUUCUCGUACUUUGAAUAUCGAUUUCUCAUACCAUGGCUUGGGGUAUUGUACAUUGCUUAUCGUGCCGAGAUUUUCAAUUAACGGUAUUUGGGUAUGAUGUUUGAUUGUAUUGACCUGUCUUGUUGCACAGCUCUUGAGCACGAAACCAUGCAACAAAAUAUUUCUUAAUAUUUAGUACGGAACCCCAGAACUUCGUCAGUUCAAGCGAAAAAACAGUAGAUGAAAGGAGUACGAGCUGAAAUCAUCCCCAAAAAUGCUAAAUACGACAGGGAAAAGCCGCGGAAAAAAAUUAAUAGUUUCCAGGACAGAAGAGCUGCCAAGUCUUUAGCGCGAGACUCACACAUGUUCAUGCUUAUUUUGCGGCAUUUUCCUUUGAACUAUUGUUUUUUCUCUUUGAUCUUUACAAUUUGGCCAAAAAAUCACGCAUUCACUUCCUGAAAAGUUGGCAUAACUGGGACACAAUGAUUCCCCUGGCAAGGUUGGCUGUAGUUGAUGAAAAAAAACAGACAACGUUCUGUGAAUAUUGCCGUUAGUUGCCCCAAACACGCAAAAAAAAAAGUCUGCUUUGAAUAUGGGUACAACUAAGUUAGGUUAAGCACCAAAAGAAUAAAUAACAGAUCAACAAAAAUGAUUAAAUACAGUGUAUAAUGUGUCCUUCAAAACAAAGGACACCCACUUUGUAUUUUGCAGCAAACUCUUGAUUUUUAAGGCAUACUAGGGCUAGCAGGUCAGUUCUGAUAGACUAGCAAUUCUUCCAACAGGGCUAGUAAAAUCCUGCUGCCAAAAAGUCCUGGGCUAGUUCGCUGUAACAAAAUUUUUGAACCCCUGUUUGUUUUAGAGGUUUGUAUGACAUCCAUUUUCACUGAACUAGUACACAUUUUUGUAAAGGGCCAGCUGAAGCCUGACUAGACUUAAUAUAAGUCAGCUAUACCGUGGAAUGCGUUUCCAGAUUUUUCACUGGCCAACUUCCUGUUUACCGAACACUUGUAUGAUUUUACCCAAGAAAGCCAAGUAUAACAUUUUCGUCACAUUUUUCUCAGGAACUACACUACAAGGAUUUCUGAAAUUUGGUUUCAGGGUUUAUAUAAGUCAGCUAUACCGUGUGAUGCGUUUUCAGAUUCAUCACUCGACAACUUCCUGUUUACCGAACACUUGUAUGAUCAUCACAAUUUUCUCAGGAACUACAAUACAAGGAUUUCUGAAAUUUGGUUUCAAGGUUUAUAUAAGUCAGCUAUACCGUGUGAUGUAUUUUCAGAGUCAUCACUCGAUAACUUCCUGUUUACCGAACACUUGCAUAUUUUUACACUAUUAAUAUUAUCCACUUGCAGCGGGGGUAUCAUCAGUGAGCAGUAGCUUGCAGUUUCACUUGUUCUCGCUGUGUUGACCCAUUGUUGGACUUCGUCUGAUUUUUUUUAUCUUUGAUCGGGUUGUUGUCUCUAUGACACAUUCCCCAUUUCCAUUCUCAAUUUGAAUUCUUUUCCACUAAAGAUUGUAUGUGAUGUCCUUUGUUUCUUUCAUGUAAAAAAUGAAUUGCACUUUUUGCUGUUAGAAAACAGGUCCUUAGUAAGCUAUGAUCUAAAGUAGUAUACAUAACAAGAUAACAAGGUCAAAAUUAAUCAGUUAUACAUUCAUGUUUCCAGAUGGUUUCAAGUUUUGAGGUACAUUUUUUAGGUCUAUAACAGUUAAAUCAUAACUGAUGUGGGUCACUAGUUGCAGUGAGCCCCCCCCUUCUUUAUGAAAAUUUCUGGAUUCACUACUGUAUAACAAGGUCAAUCUUAUAAAUUUAUGUUAUCAAUCAUCUCUCUAUAUAUUUUCAGAUGGUUACAAGUUUUGUAGCAGAUCUAUAACAGUAAAAGAUGUGUAAGAAAAAAUCAAGAUGAAAAUGAAAACAAGAAAGAAAGGUGUUCCUAAAACUAAGGAGGAACGACCACUUAACAGAUCAUUUAACAGUCAGCUUGCCAGAGACCAGGGGUACUCAGAUUUACGCAACACUGAUUCUGACACAGAUGGUGAGCUGUCGUGGGAGGAAGAUGGUGAAUAUUCAUGUA
rnacentral:lncRNA from 1 species